rnacentral:rRNA from 1 species
UAGGGAAUCUUCCGCAAUGGACGCAAGUCUGACGGAGCAACGCCGCGUGAGUGAAGAAGGAUUUCGGUUCGUAAAACUCUGUUGUUAGAGAAGAACAGCGCAUAGAGUAACUGUUAUGCGUGUGACGGUAUCUAACCAGAAAGCCACGGCUAACUACGUGCCAGCAGCCGCGGUAAUACGUAGGUGGCAAGCGUUGUCCGGAUUUAUUGGGCGUAAAGCGAGCGCAGGCGGUCAAUUAAGUCUGAUGUGAAAGCCCCCGGCUAAACCGGGGAGGGUCAUUGGAAACUGGUUGACUUGAGUGCAGAAGAGGAGAGUGGAAUUCCAUGUGUAGCGGUGAAAUGCGUAGAUAUAUGGAGGAACACCAGUGGCGAAGGCGACUCUCUGGUCUGUAACUGACGCGGAGGCUCGAAAGCGUGGGUAGCAAACAGG